GGCUGGUCUGAAGGUAGUGAGUUAUCUCAAAUGACAGUUCACAGUCAGUUACAGAUUGAACUUCUUGUUCUACUGUUUCCUCACUAUUGCACUUGACUCAUCUAAA
rnacentral:Y_RNA from 1 species